GUGGGGAAUAUUGGGCAAUGGGCGCAAGCCUGACCCAGCAACGCCGCGUGAAGGAAGAAGGCUUUCGGGUUGUAAACUUCUUUUACCAGGGACGAAAAAAAUGACGGUACCUGGAGAAUAAGCCACGGCUAACUACGUGCCAGCAGCCGCGGUAAUACGUAGGUGGCAAGCGUUGUCCGGAUUUACUGGGUGUAAAGGGCGCGUAGGCGGGAGAGCAAGUCAGGAGUGAAAUCUAUGGGCUUAACCCAUAAAUUGCUUUUGAAACUGUUUUUCUUGAGUGAUGGAGAGGCAAGCGGAAUUCCUAGUGUAGCGGUGAAAUGCGUAGAUAUUAGGAGGAACACCGAUGGCGAAAGCAGUCUCCUGGCCAAAUACUGACGCUGAGGUACGAAAGCUAGGGUAGCAAACAGGAUUAGAUACCCCAGUAGUCC
rnacentral:rRNA from 1 species